rnacentral:rRNA from 1 species
GUGGGGAAUAUUGGGCAAUGGACGAAACCCUGAUGCAGCGACGCCGCGUGGAGGAUGACGGCCUUCGGGUUGUAAACUCCUUUUGUCAGGGACAAUGGUGAUGGUACCUGACGAAUAAGCCACGGCUAACUCUGUGCCAGCAGCCGCGGUAAGACAGAGGUGGCGAGCGUUGUUCGGAAUUACUGGGCUUAAAGGGCGCGUAGGCGGUGGUGUAAGUCUGGGGUGGAAUGCUACAGCUCAACUGUAGAGCUGCCUUGGAAACUGCAUUACUUGAGUCAGUGAGGGGAAGGCGGAAUUCCUGGUGUAGCGGUGAAAUGCGUAGAUAUCAGGAGGAAGGUCUGUGGCGAAGGCGGCCUUCUGGCACUUGACUGACGCUGAGGCGCGAAAGCGUGGGGAGCAAACAGGAUUAGAUACCCCUGUAGUCC